GAUGAACGCUGGCGGCGUGCCUAAUACAUGCAAGUCGAGCGAACAGACGAGGAGCUUGCUCCUCUGACGUUAGCGGCGGACGGGUGAGUAACACGUGGAUAACCUACCUAUAAGACUGGGAUAACUUCGGGAAACCGGAGCUAAUACCGGAUAAUAUAUUGAACCGCAUGGUUCAAAAGUGAAAGACGGUCUUGCUGUCACUUAUAGAUGGAUCCGCGCCGCAUUAGCUAGUUGGUAAGGUAACGGCUUACCAAGGCGACGAUGCGUAGCCGACCUGAGAGGGUGAUCGGCCACACUGGAACUGAGACACGGUCCAGACUCCUACGGGAGGCAGCAGUAGGGAAUCUUCCGCAAUGGGCGAAAGCCUGACGGAGCAACGCCGCGUGAGUGAUGAAGGUCUUCGGAUCGUAAAACUCUGUUAUUAGGGAAGAACAAAUGUGUAAGUAACUGUGCACGUCUUGACGGUACCUAAUCAGAAAGCCACGGCUAACUACGUG
rnacentral:rRNA from 1 species